AAAAUGAAAUAUUACGCUGAUUUAUUUUGCGUAAUAUUAUUAUGACUUCUAAGUACGCACAAAAUUAUUAUGGGAAAUAGUAAAUAUAUAUAAUAUUAUCUCCAAUAUUACGAACAAUUUGAUGAGACCUUCAAUUUCAUCACUAUUUUGUCUCAUCAAUGACUAAUGUACAAUACAUCCAAAUCCAUACAAUCAUUAGUGAAUAAAGAAAUAUCAAGCACAAGGCUACCAUAAACAAUAACCAUAUGACAUUAUCUCAUAUCGUGUGGAAAUAGAUUGUACUAUCCAAUUUGUUUAGUCCCAUUAUCUUCAUACAAACUGUAUUCCCAAGAUGAGACUUCAGCAAAUAUUAUGCUUUGCGAAGACCCGACAAUCGAAUACAGAUUUCACAGAAAACUGAGUCUUCCGGUUUGUUUGUCGGAACCACGUUAGCACUUGAGUGCCACUGAACAGUUCAACUUUACUGUGCAAAUUAUUAUUAGUGGAUGUUUAUUUUGAAAUUUAUGCAACGCAUUUUUACCGAAGUAAACCCUUACCAUUACCAUGAUCACAGCUUACUCUCAAGACGAUCAGCAGCUAAAAUGAAAUCGGAUAUUUCAAAUACAUCCCGUAC